rnacentral:rRNA from 1 species
GAUGAACGCUGGCGGCGUGCCUAAUACAUGCAAGUCGAGCGAACGGACGAGAAUCUUGCUUCUCUGAUGUUAGCGGCGGACGGGUGAGUAACACGUGGAUAACCGACCUAUAAGACUGGGAUAACUUCGGGAAACCGUAGCUAAUACCGGAUAAUAUUUUGAACCGCAUGGUUCAAAAGUGAAAGACGGUCUUGCUGUCACUUAUAGAUGUAUCCGCGCUGCAUUAGCUAGUUGGUAAGGUAACGGCUUACCAAGGCAACGAUGCAUAGCCGACCUGAGAGGGUGAUCAGCCACACUGGAACUGAGACACGGUCCAGACUCCUACGGGAGGCAGCAGUAGGGAAUCUUCCGCAAUGGGCGAAAGCCUGACGGAGCAACGCCGCGUGAGUGAUGAAGGUCUUCGGAUCGUAAAACUCUGUUAUUAGGGAAGAACAUAUGUGUAAGUAACUGUGCACAUCUUGACGGUACCUAAUCAGAAAGCCACGGCUAACUACGUG